CCUGAUAUCGUCUAGUGGUUAGGACACCAGGUUCUGAUUGUUUGGACUUUCCUGGUAACCGCGGUUCGAAUCCGCGUAUCAGGU